CCUGCGGGGUGCAGCAGUGGGGAAUAUUGGACAAUGGGCGAAAGCCUGAUCCAGCCAUGCCGCGUGUGUGAAGAAGGCCUUCGGGUUGUAAAGCACUUUCAGUGGGGAAGAAAGCCUUGGGGCUAAUACCCUCGAGGAAGGACAUCACCCACAGAAGAAGCACCGGCUAACUCCGUGCCAGCAGCCGCGGUAAUACGGAGGGUGCGAGCGUUAAUCGGAAUUACUGGGCGUAAAGCGCGCGUAGGCGGUCUGAUAAGCCGGUUGUGAAAGCCCCGGGCUCAACCUGGGAACGGCAUCCGGAACUGUCAGGCUAGAGUGCAGGAGAGGAAGGUAGAAUUCCCGGUGUAGCGGUGAAAUGCGUAGAGAUCGGGGGGAAUACCAGUGGCGAAGGCGGCCUUCUGGACUGACACUGACGCUGAGGUGCGAAAGCGUGGGUAGCAAACAGGAUUAGAUACCCCUGUAGUC
rnacentral:rRNA from 1 species